GUGAAUAAUGAAGGGCGCGCGGUGGAUGCCUUGGCUCUCGGAGGCGAUGAAGGACGCGAUAAGCCGCGAUAGUCCACGACGAGGUGCAAGUAACCCUUGACUCGUGGGUUUCCGAAUGGGGCAACCCGGCUGGAUAGAUUCCAGUCAUCCUGUAAAGGAGGCAAACGCGGGGAACUGAAACAUCUCAUUACCCGCAGGAGAAGAAAACAACAUGUGAUUCCCCCAGUAGUGGCGAGCGAACGGGGAAGAGCCUAAACCGUUGCCGUUUCGGCGACAACGGGGUCAUGGGACCACGUCAUUCGAUUUUUGUUUAAACGCAAUUACCUGGAAAGGUAAGCCGCGGAGGGUGAUAGCCCCGUGCGUGUACAGACAAAAUGAGAUAGUGGAAUCCCGAGUAGGGCGGGACACGAGAAAUCCUGCCUGAAUUCGCCAGGACCCCCUGGCAAGGCUAAAUACUCCCGAGAGACCGAUAGAGAACCAGUACCGCGAGGGAAAGGUGAAAAGAACCCCUAGCAGGGGAGUGAAAUAGACCCUGAACCCGCGCGCCUACAAGCGGUCGGAGCCGGUACGUCCGGUGACGGCGUGCCUUUUGCAUAAUGAGCCUACGAGUUAGUCGUCACCAGCGAGGUUAAAUCCUUCAGGGAUGUUAGCCGAAGUGAAAGCGAGCCUCUAAAGGGCGUGCAGUUGGUGGCGCUAGACGCGAAACCUUGUGAUCUACCCCCGAGCAGGUUGAAGUCGCGGUAACACGUGAUGGAGGACCGAACCGGUAAACGUUGAAAAGUUUUCGGAUGACUCGGGGGUAGGGGUGAAAGGCCAAUCAAACUGGGAAAUAGCUCGUACUCUCCGAAAUGCAUUUAGGUGCAGCCUGUGGUGUUCUGUUCUAGAGGUAGAGCUACUGAUUGGACGCGAGGGCUUCACCGCCUAUCAAAUCCGGAUAAACUCCGAAUGCUAGAACAUCAUAACCAUGGAGUGAGCCCGCGGGUGCUAAGGUCCGCGGACGAGAGGGAAAGAACCCAGACCACCUGCCAAGGUCCCCAAUGGGCGGUUAAGUUGAAAAAACGAGGUGGGAUCGCGAUGACAGCUAGGAUGUUGGCUUGGAAGCAGCCAUUCAUUUAAAGAGUGCGUAACAGCUCACUAGUCGAGUGGUCCCGCGUGGAUAAUACACGGGCAUCAAACCGCCAACCGAAGCAGUGGGGUCAGAUCAUGUCUGACCGGUAGGAGAGCAUUCCUGUCGGCGUCGAAGGGGUAUCGCGAGGUAUCCUGGAGCGUCAGGAAAAGCAAAUGUAGGCAUAAGUAACGAUAAUGGGGGCGAGAACCCCCCACGCCGCAAGACCAAGGAUUCCCCGGCAAUGUCAAUCAGCCGGGGGUCAGCCGGCCUCUAAGGCUCACCCGAGGGGGGAUGCCGACGAGAAACGGGUUAACAUUCCCGUGCUUCUCGUCACCGUGACGCGGUGACGGGGUGAUGAAUGGACCGCGCGCAGACGGAAUAGCGCGUUGAAGGCCGUACCCUUUGAGGGUGGUAGUCAAGCACGCCACCGGAGGCGACAGCCGAUAGUACCUCGAGGCCUCGGCCGAGGGGAUAGCGUCCAGGCAAUUAACCCCCUAGAAAACCCGCUAAACUUCAAGUGACGAGGAACCGUACCGUAAACGGACACACGUGGUCGGGUAGAACAUACCAAGGCGCUCGAGUGAUUCAUGGUCAAGGAACUAGGCAAAAUAGUCCUGUAACUUAGGGAUAAAGGACGCUCUAGUGAUAGAGCCGCAGAGAAAUGGCCCAGGCGACUGUUUACCAAAAACACAUGGCUAUGCCAAAUCGAAAGAUGACGUAUAUGGCCUGACACCUGCCCGGUGCCGGAAGGUUAAGAGGAGAGCUCAUCGGAAACGAGAAGGUUUGAAUUGAAGCCCCGGUAAACGGCGGCCGUAACUAUAACGGUCCUAAGGUAGCGAAAUUCCUUGUCGGGU
rnacentral:rRNA from 1 species